AACGAACGCUGGCGGCGUGGAUAAGACAUGCAAGUCGAACGGAGUAUUAUUUGUAGCAAUACAAAUGAUGCUCAGUGGCGUAAGGGUGCGUAACACGUGGGGAAUCUGCCGAGAAGUGGGGGAUAGCUCGUCGAAAGGCGAAUUAAUACCGCAUGUGGUUAGGGAAGACAUCUUUCCGAUACCAAAGCCGGGGCAACCUGGCGCUUCUUGAUGACCCCGCGGCCUANCAGCUAGUUGGUGAGGUAACGGCUCACCAAGGCUAUGACGGGUAGCUGGUCUGAGAGGACGACCAGCCACACUGGAACUGAGACACGGUCCAGACACCUACGGGUGGCAGCAGUCGAGAAUUUUUCUCAAUGGGGAAACCCUGAAGGAGCGACGCCGCGUGGAGGAUGAAGGUCUUCGGAUUGUAAACUCCUUUUGCUGGAGAGUUAAUUUUUGAACGUACCCAGCGAAUAAGCACCGGCUAACUCCGU
rnacentral:rRNA from 1 species